rnacentral:lncRNA from 1 species
CCCCCUCGUUGGCCGGGCACAGGGGUUCUAUGGCUCAGUUGGGCUCGAGUCGAUGGCCCUGCACAUGAACAUGAACCUCGUAUUCACGACCCCGGAGUACAACGGCAGCACCCUGAGCAUAUUGGGCCACAACCCGGCACUCGAGACCUAUCGGGAGAUGCCUAUCGUCGGUGGGACCGGCGUUUUCCGGCUGGCAAGUGGGGUCGUGACGGCGAAGACGUACUUUCUCAACCUCACCACCGGCGAUGCUGUAGUUGAAUAUAAGGUCAUAGCUUUGCAUUACUAGAUAUAUCGUGGCUUGUGUUGUAGUCAAGUCCAAAGGUUAUGGAGGAAAUUACAUCGUUCUAGUUGUGUGUGGAUGCUCUAUCGUUUCCAAUUUGGUUAUGCUCUACGUGCUUUGUGAUUUUUCAUUGAUUUUGGUGGUCUGGAAUCUUCCUGUGUGGGCUCUAGAUGAACUAUAAAUUGGACUCGAUUUAUCACUGAGUAGGUAAUGUUACAAUGUUCGCCGCCAUGUGAGAUCAAGCUUGCUGAAAAUGUCAAUGAUUUUACCCACCUAAUAAUUAUGAAAGUUGAUGCAGUCAACGUUAAUUUUUUUAUUAUAUUUUGGAGUUCCCAUUUUAAAGUUACUGAAACCUAAGAUUAUGUCUUGAUUUGGUUUCAAUUUGAAAACUGUCACGCGGCAAGCUCAGUCAACCACCACCUAACAAUAAUAUUCAGGGCUGUACGUCUUGUUCAACUUAAUAAUUGGAAUUGGUGUGUUUGAACAAGCUUUUACAAUAUAUUAGGCAAUGCAUGAAAACUUGAGUAAAAUUAUAUUACUGAAUUAUAUUUGGCUUUACACAUCUUGGUCUAGUAAAGAUGUGGUAGGAGGGCUUACUAUAAGCAUAGCGUUUUAGUAGUGACCAGUGAUGGAUGGGUUCAUUAGACAUGCCUAUAUAGAAAUGGCUAAGGUCUUCUCUCCAUUUUCUAAUGUACAUAGUUAUUGUUCUAUCCAUCAAGAGUCGUCAAGGUAAAAUGGAGAUUAGAGACAAUGACUUAAGUAAAGAAGUUCAACUACAAUCAAAUUUGUUGAUUCUGCAUAUUGUUCAUUUGAUUAAUUAGGGGUCAAUUUUUUGGAAAUCUAUGUAAUGUAUAGUGAUCUUGAGUUGAAUGUUUUAUUUAUAUUGGCUUGACUUGCUUACGGAGCGCUCUUCAUUAAUAUAUGUAAUUAGGAGUGACGAUAAAUUUGGAUUUGAGUGAAAAUGAAAGGACCAUCAUCAAUGUUUCUCUCUAAUGAUUGUUAUACUUAUCGUUCAUCAUUUAAGUUGUGAGCAAAAAGAGAAUACUAAUUAUGUCAUUUUAGGAAAAAAAAUGUCGAAUCUCGAGUAGAGUACAUAUGUCCUAAAAAAGCCUAAAAUAAUUAUGGCUAAAAGAAUUAGAAAAAGAAAAACUAAAGGAGAAAAAUCGCGUCAAAAGAGAAGGUAGUUAUUGACAUUUUGGCAUUUCCAUGAUAACGGCAUCCAAGGCUUCGGAAGGGAGAACGCAGUUUAGCAGGCGCCUCUUCAUGGGGUGGGGUGGGGCCCGGUGCGACGGCGGGUGCAUUCCGGCUCAUACGCUGAGUCUGGAAGCCGUUGCGAUCUUGCAACUCCUGUUAAAAAAAAUAAAAAUCCGACGGUUCCCCCAACCUCGUACGGAGGAAGUCAACAUGCUGACGUGGAAGCUCCUUGACCCAUGACGUGGGCCCCACCAGAAGAGACGUGAACUGGCAACAAGUCCCAAUAUCGACUGGUCUCGUGGUAGUGCCUGCAUUUUCCAUAAUCCAUCUUAGCUAGUCAUUUAUUUGUUGGGGCUUGACAAUUUGGCAUAUCUAUUUACCAACUUAUAUUGUUUUAUCAUCUAUGGAUGUCACUUAUUUUGUUUAAUGGUGAAAUAUUAACUAUUUGCUACUAUCGUGAGUAUUUACACCUUCCAAAAUUAAGAGGAACCGCACAAUUUAGUUGUCCAAGGAAUGACCGUUGCUAGCGAUAUGCUAGUUCUUCUAACUAGAUUAUUUUGUUGCUUGUGGUUAUCAAUAUUUCAAUAUUUGAUUUGCUCUAGAAUUAUAGGUUUUCUAAUUUUGUUUUUCCCCCCUUCAUAUUUAAGGAAUCUUACUUGGUGGGAGUACGAUAUGAGGAAAUCCCACCAAGUAAAACUUUCCAAUUUCAAACUUUUCAAGAAAGUCAGUUAAUUUCUUGAAAUUAAGUGUGGUGGAGAAGCUACAUUUGUUUUUAAAGACUAAUGGUUUGUUAGCUCAUCAUUUUCCUUAUAAAAAGGAUUGAUAUAUAUAUAUAAUAUUGGAAGAUAUCGUUUGCUAGAGUAUCAAUAGAAAUAUUGACGAAAUAUGACAUGUCGCAAGGCCAUCUGAACUUUUGACAAAUGGAUUGCGUUGAGUCCACUUGAUGGUACUUCUUCUUCUUCUUCUUCUUCUUUUUUCUUGAUCUAAAAACGUGGAAUUUUCAUUGCUAAACCGAAGAUGUUGAAUUACAAAAAAGUUCGAGCUCCAAACAUAUAUUAACCAAAGGGGAUGUAGGGGAUGUGUAACCCAAUCCGUUGAAAGAGAGCCGACACGAUGGGCUUAAGCAACCUAAUCAGCCGUUUGAUUAAAUUCUCUUCACUCAAACCGGAUGAAAACUCCUUUUAAUUGGCUCAGAAGAUUAGUGCAAUCUUUAAUGAUGGACCUGGGGCCCAUGGCGUUUCAGAGGAAAGUACAGCUGCAGAUCAAUAAACUAUCUGCUGAUAAGAGGACUUGCAGAUCAGAGGAAAGUACAGCUGCACUUUGGGGGUUCUUUCGUGCGUUUCUUUCUUCCCGCUGUCUAAGUCACCAAAGUGCAGCCCGCACAACUAGGGCUUCUGCGAUUGAUGCUGAGGGAGCAAAAAUUUGCUGCACGAACCCACCUGUGAGCACCCCAUCUCUGGUUCUGCAAAGGACAGCAGCUGAACCCUCCAUAGUUGAGCUAUUCCAGGCCGCAUCCACGCUUAGUUUGAAGCCGAUCUGGGUUGGAGAGGGCUCCUUCAGCUGUUCACCAGAUUCUGCAGGUUCUUUUGCUUUAUUUCGGGUGAGUUUGCUAUCUCCAUACUUUACAACUAGCUGAGUCGUGUAAAUUGCUUCCUCAAUCAUUAAGCUCGAGUUUGGUUUUUUUGUCUUGAAAGAUGAGGUUGUUCCGCGCCUGCCAGAUUCUCCAAACCAGAUCCGCAAAUAUGGCCUUUGCUUCUUGGGUAUCUCGCGCGGUAAGGUUCUCCCACACCCAUUUGUCCAUUCGAUUACAUAUGUGAGGUGAUAGAUCUACUUUUAUCCUCUGAUCCGCCCAUAUUUGGUUUGUCUAGGGACACCAAAAUGAAUGUGUUCUGUUGUUUCGGGCACUUGGCCGCAUAAUGGGCAUUCAAGUUCAGGUAGCAUUUUCCUCUUGUAUAAAUUUUCCUUCGUAGGCAAAGCGUUGUUGCUCGCACUCCAAAUUAAGAAUUUGACUUUGGAGUAGGUCUUUAGCUUCCAAAUCUCAGUCCAAAGUUUUUUUGGUGGCUAGUAAGAUGUAGAUGGCUGGUUUGUCGUUUGGGUUUUGUCUGGGUUGCGAAACUUGUUAUAUCCACUUUUUACUGUGUACGAGCCUGAGUUGUCGGCUGUCCAAAUAAGCUUGUCUAGCCUGGGUGAGUGGCUUAGCAGAGUUGCUAAUAUUUCUUUGACAAUUCUCUCUUCCAAAAACUUUUGUAGUAAAGGAAUGUUCCAUCCUCUUUCAUUAUGAUCCAUUACUUUAGCUACCAAGUGGGGUUCAUUUUGGUUUGCCAGACCUCCAAUUUUGCCUGAAAGUAGCCAUCUAUCCUUUCUAAUUUUGAUCUUGUUACCAUCACCCACCUCACAUUUAAUCUCUGGCUCAAUUGUAUCUCUCCCUAGUAGUAAGCUUUGCCAGUGUUCAUUGUCCAAAACUCCCCUCUGGGAAAGUAGAUCCCUUUGAACAGUCUGCUCCAUAUAGCAUUAGGGUCUUGAGUGAGCCUCCAAACUUGUUUCCCCAGCAUGGCCUUGUUAAAGUCGACUAGGUCUCGAAACCCAAGCCCCCCCCCCAAGUCUUUUCUCUUUUUUAGAGUGUCCCAUUUUUUCUAAAGUACCCCCUUUCUAGCAGCAUUUUUCUUCCACCAGAACGAAGAAACUUUCUUUUCAAUAGCUCGACAAAUCGAUAUGGGGAGUUUGAAAAUAGACAUGACAAACUAAGGUAAUGCUUGUACUACCGUUUUGAUCAGAAUCUCUUUGCCUGCCUUCGACAUUAGCUUCUCUUUCCAUCCUUCCAAUUUACUAUCAAUUUUUGCAAGAACUCAGGAAAACAUUUCCUUCUUUGUUUGUCCCCAGUCCGAAGGAACAACCAGAUAUUUCCCUAUUUUCUCCAUGAUUGGCACUCUCAAUUCUGCUGCUAUAUUCUGUUUUAGGCCUUGGGGACAGUUUUUCCCAAAGUAAAUACUUGACUUGUUGAGAUUGAUGGCUUGUCCAGAUGCAAAACAAUACUGAUGCAACAUAUUUGCUAAAUUUUGAGCCUCAAUGAUAGUGCCAUUUAGGAAAUAAAAUAACAUCAUCCGCGAAUAAGAGAUGUGAUAGUGCAGGGCAGUAUUGAUUUAGUUUAAUGCCCUUUAAGCUGCUGUCUUGUAAAGCUUUUAGUAUAAAGGAGGAUAGAAUGUUGGCCAUAAUAAUGAAAAGAUAGGGAGAUAGGGGGUCUCCUUGUUUGAUCCCUCUAGUCGGCUUGAAGUAAUUACCUGGCUCCCCAUUAAUUUUGACGCUAAAAGAUACUGAGGAUAUACAUUGUUUGACCAAAGACACCCAUUUGUCACAGAAACCCAUUUGUAGCAUGCAAUUACAUAGAAAAUCCUAUUCUACCCUGUUAUAAGCUUUUUGCAUAUCAAGUUUGAGAACUGCUUGGAAUUUUUGCUUACUUUUCCUUACUCUUAGCUGAUGUAGGACCUCAUGAACUAUAAAAAUAUUAUCUUGUAUUUGACGCUCCCCCACAAAUGCACUUUGUUAAGGAGAUAUAAGUUUCUUCUCCUCUACAGAGGGGAAAACAAAGAUAUAGUACCCAGGAUAGAUCAUUUCACAUUUUACCAAAUCAGUCUUCCAUGCUUUCUUCAUAGUGCUGGAAAAGGCUUGAAAGUUGACAUUUGGCUUUGAGAAAAGUUUACCAUAUAGAAUAAGUUCACGUUCUCAUCUUUCUAGUUCAGGCAUUUCAUCGACCAGUUUGGUUACAUCUUCCUCUAACCACAAAUCACCCAUACUCUUGCAAAGUGCCAUUACUCUAAGCUAAUUAUCCUGUGUGCUCUCCAUCCUAUGGCUGAAAGGAUGAAAGAAAAUCCCAAGAAGAUGUAGUUGUCAAGUGGGAAUACUGGUAAGAUUCUAGGUGUGUUUGUUUCACGGAAACGUAAUGUUUUUGGAAAAUGUUUUUCAAGAAACCAUUUUUCAGGAAAAUGGAUAGUUUUCCUUUGUUUGGUGAUACGUGACUAAAAGUGUUUUCUAAUGUUUGGAUCGCAUUUGAAAAAUGAUCUAACAAUUGACAAUAGUGUGCAUCUUACUUCCAAAUUAAUUUAUUGAGUCCAUGUUACUUUAUAAACGGAUUUUUCUCGAUCAGAUUAGUAUAUCUAGAAUUUGAACCUGUAAAAUGAAAAGGAAACCUAAAUUCACACUUAUUUUUUUUUUCCUGAAAAUGGACAUGAUUUGAGAUCUUUUAUAUAUAACAUUACAUUAAUUUGUAUUUUUUUCGUGAUAUUAAGUAGGAAGUAAAAGAAGCGAAAAGAAAGGAAAAGGGAGAAAGGAGGAAAACAUCACCAUCUGUCCAUAUAAUCGGCACUAGCAAGCUAAAAUCUCUUUCUUUCUUUUUCUUAUUAUAGAUUUGAAUGUUUCAAAAGGUUGUCCUUCUCUUUAAAUAAGAGGCAAGAAAUUUGGGAAAUAAAUAAAAGAAAUACAUCUAAAAAGAAAAUAAAAAAUCUUAGAAGAAACAUUCCUUUUCCAGUAGAGACAUAAAUCGAUCCCCCAAAUUCGAAGCCCCUCGCUCGCUCACAACCAUCCAAAAAUCAAAUCCAUUUUCCGCUCAAAAUUACCAAAAAAAAAAAACCCACCAAAUAAAAAAUUAAAAAAAUGGGCUGUACACACACGAACUCCCUCUCUCUCUUUCUCUCUCUAGCUCGACGACAUCGAUGGCUGACCCGUCCUCCUCACCGCCCCCUCCUCCAAUCCCUAGCCUCCUUCUCCCACCAUACUUGCCACUGCCUCCGCCUCUACCCCCCAGCUUGGAGUAGCCGCCGCCGCAGCAGCCGUGAUCCUCUUCUCUUUCCUGAAGCGGCCGGCCCUCCAGGUCACCUCCGAGUACGACAAUGACAACUCCGUCUUCCUCUAAAAGGUCUCGUGCAAGCUUCUCAACAUCCUCGCCAAGCUCAAGCUCUCCUUCCGCAAUGACCAGAAGGGCGAGGUCGCGGAGCCCCGGCUGGACUUCGUCUCCAAGCACCUCCUCCUCCACUACGACGUCGAAAAAGCGAAAGAACCUGGAAUCGUGUUGAGCAUUGUUGAAGAAGAGCUAGACCUUCAAUGAUGAAGAAGAAGAUCUGGACCUUCAAUGGCGAAGAAGGUGCGCAUCGUUGAAGAAGAGCCGAAGAAGAAAGAUGAGCGAAAGAGCGAAGGGAGAGAGCAACGUACCUCUGAAAAAUUUGGAGAGGAAAAGUGAAAGGUCAAGGAGAGAAAAUGAAAAUGGAAAGUGUUUCACCUUCUCAGGCGGGGGAAUUCGAUUUCCUAAAAUAAUACAUAACAUUUGUGUUUGACCGGAAAGUAUUUUCUGUUGACCAAAUCUUUUCUAGAGAACCAACGGCUGAAAAUCCGGAAAACACUUUCUCGUAAAAUACUUUCAGUGAAACAAACACACCCUAAAUUUAGGAGUGAUGGGAGCCCUAGCUAGUUUGAGAGUUUUCUGAGCAAGCAGUAUAUAUAUAAUCUGCAUCAAACUGUUUUUGUAGGUCUUGUCCGAAAAGAAGGAUUUAGCUAUUGGGUGCGGAAAUCGCCCAAGAAAAGAUGCUUAACCAAGUUUCUCUGAUGCUGUGUUUGUGAGACAACAUCCUAAACCAUCGGUGCUUAACCAGGUUGCACUUGAUGGUACUUCACUUCUGUAAAAAGUGUGUCGAACGAGGUCUGAAUGGAGGUGACGUUUAGAAAUUUAGGUGACUUUUAGAAAUUUGAGUGUGGUGGAAAGUAAUUGCUUUAAAAGAGAAAAUCUAAAUUGACUAGAAAUGUAUAUAAUUGAAUUACAUCAAAAAGGAAAAGUAUAGAGAAAUGUAAACAGGCAUAGGGACACCCUCAAGCUCGUCGUCCCCGACCCCUGCUCCCUCCCCCAGCUCCGCCGCAUCCUCGCCGGCCGCCUCUCCCCCUCGCCCCCUCCCGGCGUCUCCUUCCGCCUCUCCCUCAACCGCACCGACGAGCUCCGGUCGCCGGAUCCCGCCGCUUCCCUCCAGUCCCUCGGCCUCGCGUCCGGCGACCUCGUCUACUUCUCCCUCGGCCCCGAUGCGCUCGCUUCUCCUCGGGUAGGCGAUAGCUCCUCGAGCGCCGAAUCCUCCGCAGGGACGUCGGGUCGGGUCGGGUCUCCCUAGGGCACGCAGAGAUGGAUUCCGAAGAUCUGCACGGGGGGCGGCCUCGGGAGGUUGCGGAUUCGGAGAUGGUCGAUUCGGUGCCUGAAGAUGCGCCGGGAGCCGAUGCUUCGGGGAGCGCCGGGGAUCCAGGUAAUUCCGUCUCUGCAAGUGUUGAUUUUGAGGGCGACGGCGUUGUGGCCGCGGAUGACUCGACUGGGGUUCGCAGCAAGUUCUCCGAGCCUUACUUUCUGAGGAGGGUUUUGAGAGAGGAAUUGGGUGGGGACGGUGGUGACCAUAGGCUUCUGGUUAUUGCGGUGCAAGCUGUUCUGCUGGAACCCGGUUUCGUCGCGGUUGAUCCGGUGACUGGAAUGCCUGCCGAUCGGUUUCAUCUCUCCGAUCAAUGGCCUUCCGCGGCAUUUACGAUGACGUUGCAGUACAGUCUGCCUGAGCUUGUGGCUAGGACGCAGGGUCUGAAUGUAACUGAGAGUCUUGUUCUGAAGUUUGAGAGUUUAGGUCACUUUAUAAGUGUCUAUGGGCGUCUGGCUAAAGCCAAGUCGGUGUUGAUUAGAGUCUGUUUGAACGAGCGCAGAUUUGCUCCUAUUAUAGACGUGAUGUGGGUGAAAGGCGAUGACAAUGUGGAAGUGAAUGAGGAUGGUGGAUCUUUGAAUCUGAGUUCUGAAAAACAAGUGUUUGAGUUUUGGAAGAUUGUAAAAGAUGGUUUGGCAUUGCCGCUGUUGAUAGACCUAACUGAAAGAGUCGGUUUGCCGCUUCCAUCUUGCUUCACAUGCCUUCCAACGGAACUGAAGCUCAGGAUUUUCGAAUUGCUUCCUGGAAUUGACCUUGCAAGGGUAGGGUGUGUAUCUUCUGAACUACGGUAUUUGGCAUCCGAUAAUGAUUUGUGGAAGCAGAAGUAUGAUGAGGAGUUUGGAGAGCGGAUAGAAAGCAGCCGAGAGAUCAAUUGGAAGCUGAUUUUCACAUCUGAGGCGAAGAAGAAGAGGAAGUGGGAGAGUAGUUUGUGGUUGUGGCAGAUGCCUACUGCUCGUAUGCCUUUCUCCGUAAGGUUCAGAGAAUUCCGAACCCUUCCGGCGUUCCAGGAGUCAUAGGUGGAGAUUAUGACCGUCUGCCCGGCCUUGGGGUUCCUCCUCCUUUUGGCCCGCCCUUUCGUCGAGUUCAAUUCCGGCGGAAUAUCAUCCCCAGCUGCAAUCUUGGAGGACUUAAUGGCUGACGUGAGUUGGGUUUUGGACGGAUCUUGAUCGACUGUCAAGCAAUGGCUGCUGAGAAAUGGUGGCUUGGAGGCAUCUAUAAUGGCCACUUUGGUGUACAGAUCUAUAGUUUUAGCAAGAUAAAUAUGUGUUAGCAGUAGAGGUUGUAUUUUCGCUGUUGCUUUUUACUUUUUUUUUAGUGUGCUGGAGGUCUCCCUCUCCACCACGCGUCUAGCGCGUGCUUUUCCUUUCAGUCUUGGAGAACUUCUAAUGAAGUUGAUGAAACCUAACCUGCAUAAAAAAAAGAAGAAAUGUAAACGGGCAUGGAAUUGAAAAUUGUAAGGAAAAUAUAAAAUUUAAAGCUCUUACGAAGUGUGUUCCCACUUGUGUGUUCUCCACUUCAACUCUUUAGGCUUUUUUAUGCUAUUGUCGCCUAAUUCUUUGAAAAAGUCUCUCUAUGUAUAAUUUCAAUUCUAUCUUGAAUUUAUUAUUUUCUAAUUUUUUUGCAAACUCUCACUAUAAUCCUAAAUAUGCCCAUUGAUUCAAUAGUCUCCAUUGGUUUCUUCAAAAUUAUUAGUAUCAAGACAAGUUAGAGGCUUGUUAUUAGAGCGGGCAUCUUCAUCAAUACCCCACCCUCAUAUAGAACAACAAUAGACUCUUGAUAUUGGUAAUCUUGAAGAAACCAGUGAAGGUGUGAGCACAUUUGUGAUUAGAAUAAAAAUUGAGGAUCUUUUUUGAUAAAAGAAAAAAGUUUGGAGUGUAGUUGGAAUUAAAUCUAAAGUUGAGGGAGAAAGGACUGUGCGAGCGUGGAUGCACUGUUGCUUCCUAUAAGUAAUUGUGCAGUUUGGGCUGUCCAUUUCAUUUUUGUAUAGUAGGGAACCGGAUGUAAGCUUGCUGUGGAAAAUCAUUAGGGCCUCACACCUGAGAUUUCUCGAUUGAAAAUUCUCUUUUAUUUCUUUCCAAUUUCUCUUCACUUUCUCUCUAUAUUAAUUGUCACUCUCCAUCAUUAAAAGUAGAAGCUCUAUUUCCGGAUAUAGCUCCUGAAGAUUUAGAGUUGCAGUUGUCACCGUUUUUCUUGUUAAUUUGCGUUUGUGUCAUCGUUUCAGAAUAAUCUUAAUUGCCUUACCAGUAUCCUUAGUUAUCGCCCCCACCGUUUCUCGGCUUUCCGAAGCUUCUGAGCACGACUACUACCACAUUCCAUGGUUAGUGAAUAAGAACUGAAUCUCUCUCUGUUGUUCCUUUUUGCUUUGUGUCCUCACCUUUUCUGUGUGACGUUCAACAAUGGUCACCGGUGAGGAAACUAAAUGAGAGUCACUGAUAUUCAUAGGGUUAGUCUAUGCUAAUGUCAUUAAGUGCCUGAAUUUGCCUUGUCAGUUCUUCGCGUUCUACCUAUCUUCUGCAAUACUGAGGCAUCAUCGUCGGAAAGGCCUGUGAACGGAGAUGGUUGCCUUGUGGAGGUUGAAGAUGGAUGGUGGCUGAAUAAGAGGCACUUAAUCUCAUAUUUUCUGGGGGAGUUGGUGGUUCUUAAAGUCUUCGAAAAUAUACGAUCUAGUUUCACGCCUUCUCUUUCUCUCUAGCUCUUCCUCUCUCUUAUAACCGACUCAACGGAGAGAAAGUGAACGUAAUUCGGUUCUCAAAUCCUCCAAGUAUCUAAUUACGGAAAAAUUUGAGUGACCCGAUCAAUAUUUACUUUGAUUUAAGCAACUACAAAAUCCGUUUUGAAUUUGAUAAUAAUAUAUACUCACUUGAUUUAGCCCAUCCAAUCGACCAAUGUCUAAUUUCAAGUUUAAUUGUUAUAUUAUGAAUACAUAUCCUAAUUUGACUGGACAAUUUGCGUUUGCAAAUAACACUGAUUAAUUAUUAAAACAGUUUGCAGCGUUUUAUGUUUGGCUCAAAAUUUUCGCCCUUUAAAAAUAUAUUUAAGAAACUACGUUGAAAUAAGCCGUGUUCGAGUAGAGUAUGAUUGAAAACGCUUUCUCUAGUUUAUCCUCUAUUAUUUUUAAAUUCAAUAAGCUAAAAGCGAAAGCACUGUAAGUAUCGUUCUCUCAAUUUCGGCUUUAACCGUUAUAUAGAUUAGAGUGCCCUUUCUCAUAAAGAUUUUAAAUUUUAAAAAAAAAACCUUAAUUUCAAUCUUUCCAUGGGGUGAAAAUUUGUGGUUGAACUAAUGUGCUUAUCUUUCUUUAGAUCGGCUCCCACACCUACCGCGCACUUUAGAUCGGCUUCCACACCUACCGCCCGCCAAACGAAAAAGAAAAAGAAGGAUUGCAUCGAGAAGUCUAUCGUCAUCAUUCCCCGAUUGCACCAACUAGCUUAUGUUAGAUAGUGCUAAUUGACCCAAGCCAACAUAUUUGAUAGGAUUUGAGAAACUUUACUACAAAGUAAUUGCAAAUAUCCCAUAAUUGGGUCCCAUAACGUGAAUCACGACACUUCAUUGCUGCAAAUUCUAAUCAUAAACGUUGGCGUGAGAGAGUAUCCAUAUUAAUAUACAAUGCCAUUGAUUGCGAUAUCACUUUAUAUUUGCGAUAGACAAGACUAUUGUAUGAUAUUAGAUGACGCAUGACAACUCAAGUUCAAUUGCAUAAUCGAAUAAUAGAAAUGUGUUGGGACGGUGUACAAUAGACAUGACGUCCUAACCGUAUACAAUGAUAGAUGGGCUCUGUAGAAGCAAUUAUACGCAAAAUUAAGUGUGAUCUAGGUAAAAGGGAGAUUGGAGAGAAAGACCUAAGUAAAGAGGCUCGAUUAGAAUCCAAAAGUAAAGUGGUUCGAUUAGAACCAAAUCUAUAGAUUAGGCAAGUGUUAAUAAUUUGAAUAAUCUUUCAAGUGUACCGAAUAAAUAUGUAAUAUAUAGGUGAUCUUGGGUUUGAACGUUGGAUAAGCGAUUUUCUUACGGAGCAUUCGUCAUUAAUACUUCUUCGAUUUUGAAGAAAUGUAACAUGCUACUAACACUUUCCCUACAUUCAAAAAGAAAUGAUUAGUGUCGAUUUGCAAAUCAAAAACCGCAAGGAUGAUGCAAAGUCGGUAGUUACGUGUGAUUGACUCGGUGGUCCCUCGUGAAUCUUUUGAUUUUGAAAAAUUAUUUUGGUCCUAUGACCGAUUAACACCUAUCCUCACGUCUGUCCAUAUAUGUUGCACUCGCGUUUCAUAACGUAGACAACAUGAUGAAGCCUGUCCCUAGUGAAAAAGCACGACCGGUUAAGUGAUUGAUCUCGACCACUUUUGUUGCAUCUUUCUCUGGAGGUGUCUUCUUCAUAAGGCUCCUUUCUGGGUUCAUUUCCGCCUCUAAAUUCCUUCCAAUAGUAUCCACUUUCCCAGCGAUUUCAGAUCGAGAGACAGAGAUGGCGAAGCCAGGUUUACUGGCAAUGGUGGUGACAGCUCUUGCUCUGGUGGUGGCAGCUCUUGCUCUGGUGGUGGCCAUGGUGGCGAAACACGCCCGUGCCGAGGCGGAUGACCCCGGGAAGGUGGACGCCUGGUUCAAUGGGCUUAGCCAUGCCGAUCGCAAGACCACACGCCUCCACUUCUACUUCCACGACACGCUCUCUGGCAGGAAACCCACGGCAGUGCGCGUUGCCGAGGCCACGAUGACCGACAAGUCCCCGACGGGUUUCGGGGUGGUCAACAUGAUCGACGACCCGCUGACCGAGGGCCCUGAGCCAGAGUCCCCCCUUGUUGGCCGGGCACAGGGGUUCUAUGGCUCAGUUGGGCUCGAGUCGGUGGCCCUGCACAUGAACAUGAACCUCGUAUUCACGACCCCGGAGUACAACGGCAGCACCCUGAGCAUAUUGGGCCACAACCCGGCACUCGAGACCUAUCGGGAGAUGCCUAUCGUCGGUGGGACCGGCAUUUUCCGGCUGGCAAGUGGGGUCGUGACGGCGAAGACGUCCUUUCUCAACCUCACCACCGGCGAUGCUGUAGUUGAAUACAAGGUCAUAGCUUUGCAUUACUAGACACUUUGUAGAUAUAUCGUGGCUUGUGUUGUAGUC